rnacentral:sRNA from 1 species
UGCUCUCGCCCUCAUGGGCAUUUCCUCCCCAGACUUCGGGCCGCUCUCAUAAGGGGCGGCCCUUUUUUCGCCUAGG